AGAUGGAUGGCUGGAACGAAGUGCUGCGCGCACGGGCUGACACCUG
rnacentral:ncRNA from 1 species